GCCGGGCGUGGUGGCGCGUGCCUGUAAUCCCACCUACCCAGGAGGCUGAGGCAGGAGAAUGGCUUGAACCCAGGAGGUGAAGGCUGCAGUGAGCAGAGAUUGCACCACUAUACUCUAGCCUGGGUGACAGAGCGAGAUUCUGUCUCCA
rnacentral:SRP_RNA from 1 species